rnacentral:rRNA from 1 species
CGGUUGUAAGCUCUGUCGCCCGGGACGAAAUCCGGUGAGUGAAUGGCUCAUCGGACUGACGGUACCGGGAGAGGAAGCACCGGCUAACUCCGUGC